AAGAAAAGCUGUAAUUUUGGUGAAUAGAAGUGAUAACAACUUAAAUUCUUUAAAGUAGAGACUAGAAACCGCGAGAUAAUCUUACAACACGAUCGAUGGUAAUACAGGCAUAUGUCAAUCAAUUUUUCCAAUUGGAUUGAGAAAUAAAAUGUCAGGAAAAACUGUAGAGCUAAACAAGCAAAAAGCCCCAACUUCCAACUCCGACGUAACCAUAAAGCUUAACAAGAAUUUUCCAAGAACCCAAAGAUUAAAUGACAACUAAGCGAAUCCCAAAACUGUUGUGUUUGAAUGACUGAUACAACUGCAAUUCGAUAAUGACAUCAUUUUGGAAUUGUAUAGUUUCAUCAUAGAAAGAAUUCAUAAGGUUGCCUAUGGGAAGGCUUGUGACACACUACCGAGAUGGAAGAAUAAAAGGCAUACCCCAAAUAUGAUUAGUCCUACUGAAAAAGUUAGUCCAAAUAUUUCAAUCAAAAACCUCAUAAACAUCACUUAUCAAGCAGCCUUAAACUAAAUACAGAACUGCUGGUCUAACAUUGAACUUAGAUAGGAUAAUUUUUGCAGUAAACCAAACAAAUUGAAGUUCAGAUAUUGUUAACUUGUCAACCCUUUAUGAUAUAGUUCUUGCCAAAAGCGCCAUCACAGUGUCAACUCUCAGAACAUUGAAAAACAAUAAAAUCUACCAGUUUCACUCAAAAAUGUUAGAAACAUGGUAAUGAAGGAAGUCUGGAUGCACAGUAUACCUUCCUGCAUAUCUACAAUGAGCUUUUGGUUUCAAAUUUUAAGUUUUAAAGAUAGGGGUUGUAGAGGAAGAGAUCUGCAACAAAACCAAGGAUAUACAGAUUCCAUUUCAAUUAGAAAAAUGGCAAAACACCAUUGAAUUAUAAGCACCAUUGCCGCAAACAUAUGACAAGGCAAAGCAUUCAGAAUUUACUCAAACAAAUAAGGUAAAGAAAAACAUACCAAUCACUGCUGCUGCUGAUUUUGUUGCUGGUUCUGAGGGUUGGGUGGAGGUGGCAUUCCAGGACGAGGGGGUCCAAACACAGGAACUUGACCACCAGGUGGAGGAGGCAUCCCAGGACGAUGCGGUGGUGGACCAGGCAUGCCGGGUCGAGGCGGAGGAGGUGGGCCCCUCAUCAUCUGCCCAGGCGGCGGAGGACCCAUCGGCCUCUGCCCAAACUGCAUCUGAGGUGGGCCCUGGAAUUGCAGAGGUGGGCCACCAGGCCUCGGAAACUGUGGAGGCGGCACACCAGGCGGUGGACCCCGCGCCAUCUGCGGUGGGCCCUGACCGGGAUAUCCAGGCAUCUGCCCAGGCGGACGAAUCACCGGAGCAGCCGGGUACGACAUAGGCGGCGCAGAGAGGUUCGGAACAGGAGGGCGUGAAAUCUGCGGCUGCAUCAUGCCGGGGGCGGGCCCACCCACGCCUCGAACCGGGCCGGAGAGACCGGGCUGUGCCUGGGCCAGUGGAGCAGUGGGGAUACCUCGACCGGCGGCCCGGCCCAAACCGGGGCCAGCCAAAGCGGCGGCGCUGGCGGCCUUGGCACGUGACUCUUCCUGAGGAGGUGGGCCCUCGACGGUCAUGGAGAUCACCUCUUCACCGCGGAGGAGGACGAGUCCUAGGGUUCGACGGUCGUCGCGUUCCUCGUUGCUCUUCUUGCCCUUCAAUGGCGGGAGCUUGCGAAACUCCUCGCAGUCGCCCAGGACGAGGUUCAUGUGGCGAUCGAAGGCCAUGAACUUGCCGACGAGCUGCCGACCGUCUUGGAUCGUCACUCGCAUUCGGUAGUUUAUGAAUUGCAGCAUCUUGGAGCUCUUCGACAUCGACAUUGUGAUGGGCUCUGCAGUCCUCCGCGCCCAAGGCUUGGGGGUUUUUGGACACUGAAGAAGAGACGAUUGAAAACCCUAGGGUUUUGGAUCGACGCAAAUCAAAUUCGGGAUUGUCUAAACUCUGUUCUAUUUUUUCACAUAAAUUUUUUUUUUUUAAAAAAAAACUAAAACUAAAUAGAUGUGCGUAUAUUAUAUUGGGCUCGAGAAUGAUUUGGGCUUGAUGACGCGUUGUGGGCUUAUUUUAGUAUGACGUGGAUGAUUGGGGGAUUCAAUUCAACUGAGCUUAGCUUGGAUUUAUAAACUUAAGGAAAGUUUUAAUCCAAUUAGGAAUUAUUUUAUUUCGUGUAUAUUUACUUACUUUGGUUGAAUUAUAACUUCUUCUUUUUCCGUUUUCAAUUUAAAAGACUUACUUCAUUGAAGAUAUAACGUGAGACAAGUGAAAAGCCGUUUUUCUACAUGAGUUUUAUGACUAAAAUCGUAUAUAAACAAGUCCGGUUUUUCUUUUGCUAAUCUACUUUUGGAUCUUUAACAAGUUGCUAAUCUAUUUAUCACUCUUUGAUGGUGUAACUGAUAAAUGAAUUGUCUAUAUAUCUGUAAUUUUUGCAAUUUUAAAUGAAGACUGGUGAACGAUUUGUCUGUAGUUGAACAAACUUUAAUUUGACCAUCAAAUUUGUCGCUCUACUUUAACCUCUCAUCUUCGUCAAACUUUAACUACGUUAUACACGUUUUAUGAUAUAACUUUGUCGUCCAAGUUUCCUACUAUUGUUUUUCCUUUUAAACAAAUGUAUUUAUAAGUUUUAGUGGCAUAAAUUCCGUAAAACCAUAACACUUGUGUCAUAUACCGUUCAAUUAUCUUUCAAAUUUGUAAUGAAUACAUGCAUUUUCUUGGUAUAUUUUCAUAAAAUUAGGAAAGGAUAUUUCUUUCGUUAACAAAUUUCAAUCUCCUUAUUGGUUUUUUCGCUCAACUUUAAUUUAAUUAUUCUUAUCUAUUUAUUCAUUUAUUAAAUUAUCUAGAAUAUUCAGUCACAUGAAAAGAAAUACACGUUUCAUAAGCCGUUUCGAUUAGCUUUCAAUUUCUAUAACGUUCACUCUCCGUAAUUUCAUGUGUAACCGAUGAACGAAUUAUCUAUACAUACGUAGUUUAUACAACUCCACGUAAAAACCAUUGAACCAUUUGUCUGUAGUUGAACAAACUUUUGAUUCGACCAUCAAUUUUGGUGCCCAAUUUUAACUUCUCAUCGGUUUCUUCGCUACACUUUAACAAUGUUAUACGUUUGAUUUAUGAUCUAACUUUACCCUCCAAGUUUCUUACUAUUGUUUUUUGUUUUCAAAAUAUAUUUACAAGUUUGAGUCUGGGAUAAAAUUCAAUAACAUCAUAAGACCUGUGUCAUAUACCGUUCGAUUAUCUUUUAAUUUUUUUAAUUAAUACAUGCAUUUUCUUGGUACAUUUACAUAAAAUUACAGAAUGAUUCUUCUUUAGUUCAACAAAUUUUAAUAUUCUCAUUGGUUGUAUUCCACAACUUUUAUUUCACCGUAAUUUUAUAUUUAUCAUUUUUAUACUUAAAUUAGGUUGAAAUAUUCGGUCACGUGAAAUGUGAUGAAAAGAAAUACAAGUUGCAAAGCCGUUUUGAUUAGCUUUCAAUUUUUCUAAAUUUUUUAUGCCAUCUCCGUGAUUUCAAAUAUAACUGACGAUCGAUUUGUCUAUACAUCAACAAUUUCUGCAAUUUCACAUAAAAACCAGGGAAGGAUUUGUCUUUAGUUGAACAAACUUUGAUUCCACCAUUGUCUCUAUGGGCCAAGUUUUCUAUAAAUACCUCUCUAACCUCCUCAUGUUCAAAUACAUGAAGUAACUCGUAUACUGAUCAUAUUUUCUUCCUUUGGGCAUGGUUACCACGUCAGCACUUGAGAGUCAGUUUUGGGGUUUUAGUGGGAGGAAGAUGAGGGGAAAGAGAGGGAGGGGAAAACAAAAAGAGAAAGGAAAACUUGAGAGAGUCAGCCGAAGAAACUUAUUCGGUUGUAGAAAUGUGUGGCAUGGGAGAAAUCGGGGCAAGAGGAAUGCUCUGCCAUUGCAGAGCAUGUAAGGAGCUGUGACCUCCUCCAUUGGACUCAAGGUAAACAUUUAUUUCCUUAUUAGAUGUUUUCUUCUGCUAAAAUGGAAGUUGAUCUUUUUAGUUUGCUAGAGAAAUAAGCACAUCCUCACGAGUUUUCAUUGUGCAGUGAGAAAGAAAGUGGGAUGGUUGGAUUUGGAGUCUCGUAAAUUUCAUUGAAAAAUUUGUAUCAUAUAAAGAUGAUGAAUACAAACUACACUACUUUCCAUUACUACUCCUACAUAUGAACCACUAACAUGACACUCCCCCUCUCCUUCCUCAGCUGCAGGUCCACAGCCAGCUCGGGCCCUAAGAUUUAACCCGAGAAGGAAGGAUCGAUCCGCUGUGUCAUGUCUGGAUCGAGGCCAGUCGCUUCAAAAACAAGUUGAAGUUAUGGUCCCGAUCCAACAUGCUCACGCGGACAUACUUUGGACCAACUCCAAAGCUCCUUCCUCCUCGGGUUAAAAUCUUAUGACCUCUGAGUAAGCUUUCGCAAUCUUCCACGCCUUCGUCUUCACAUUUGAGCCAUGCGAAAGCUGCAACAGAGGUAAACAGCAAUGUCAAUUUCAACUGCUUCAAAUGCGUUACAUAGAUAGUUAUAUAAGUGGCAACUCUUAAUUAAUGGUUCGGUGAAUUUUUGCUUACCAGGUUGAGGCUGCGAGACCUGGUUGAGGAACUGGCAGAACCCUUGCUGGAAGUCAGGCAGACUAAAAAAUCUGCCCUUGUUCACCGCCUCUCUAAGAAGCUGCCACCUCUCUGCCAUGAAGUGAUAGCUGAUCUUAAAGAAAGAUUCACCGGACUCCGGCCCGCCAGGGUUUUGGGAGGAGUUGAUGAUCACCUCCAAAAUCCUAGCUGCUCGGAGCUGCGAAUCCCGGGACACGCCUAUGGUGCUGAGCUCUAUGAACUUGAUCAUCUUUUUGGCAACUUCUGGAUCUUUGACAAGAGCCCAGCUGCAACACGGAAGGAGAAAGUAUCAAAUGAGUGCUCAAAACAAAAGACCAGAACAUGUAAAAGAAAUUAACAAAGCUCGGAGAGCUUACCCAAUGCGUGUCCCGGCAUGCCCGGUGGCUUUCGAGACGGUGAACAGAGUCAGAUCAUGGUCAGCUGCCGACGAAAUGGGGGUAUAUUGUGGCCAGUAGUAGGCCAAGUCAUGAACCAAUAUACCUCCAGUUCGGUUGACCAUGGAGUGCCUGACAAAUCCAUCAGGGUUGUUGGGGGAGGUCACUAGCUCUAUGUACGGCCCCUCUUUGUCGAAGCUCCGGGCAUCCCCUGCCCAUUUGUACAAGCCCGACUUGAGGUAGUCAGUCAUAGAGGGGUAAGACUGCAAAGAGAUCAUCAAAAACAAAAACCCACUGUUAAUCAAUGUAUCUCAGAAAAGUUUACAAAGCUAGCAGCAAAUAAAAAUUCAAUGCAUUUUUUUACUUAUUUCAACUGUUAUGUCAUGUCACGCAUGAUAAUUUCUACACGUAAUAUUCUGUAAUUAAUUAAAAUAACAAAAUAAUGCUAUUCUCUUUUUAUAUAAAUUUUUCUGGUCCAAUUAGGCCACAUGCAUGAACAGGGAGGGGGGCAAAAGAUGAAGUGGGAGAAAAAAAUAAUUGAGAUUGCAAAAUCAAGUUUCAGAGUCAAGGCAGGCGAAUUAAAUGACAAAUUAUUAAAUGAUUUUUCCCUUGUUCUUCUGGGGGUAAAGGAUACUGUUUCGCACAAAUAUCUUACUUAUGGCAAGCAAAUUUUUUAGGGUCAUGCUAGGGAGACCAACUUUAGAUACCAACUUGUGUACCAACUCUCUAAUAGAGGUGGAGCCCACCAAUACAAUGGGUCCCACACUCUAUUAGAGAGUUGGUACACAAGUUGGUAUCUAAAGUUGGUCUCCCUAGCAUUUUCCAAUUUUUUAAUUGAAGUGGGCGCCAUUAACAAAAAGCAAGUCCACCAUGCAAAGUGAUCACAUUAAAAAAAGUUAAUUAUAAUAAUAAUAAAAUUACUGAUGCAUUUGACUUUGCUUGGAUUUGCUGGAAAGUAACAAGUACAUUAGUGACAUUCUUCAGCAAAUAAACAAAUCAAACUUCAAACACAAUUUUUUUAAAAAUAAAAUAAAACUCACAGAGUAGAAUGGGGCUGCAGAAAUCACACUUAUAGGCUCAGAUGCAUCUUUUGGAGCCAGAGCAUAGAGGGCAGCUAAGAAGAGCUGUGAUGAGCCUGUGCCAACCACAAUUUGACGACCUUCUGUGACAGCAUUGCCCACCAGAUUGUGCAGCCUCACAACCUGCUUGGCAAACUCUGGCUCCAAAAACCAGCAAGGGUUUUUCACAUCUGAGAAAUAGCUCAUUGACUGCCAUCCAGGGAUCACAACUGUGGUCUUUUCACCCAUCUGCUGCCAGUAACUUUCAUACAUAGUUGGGUCUCCACUGCAUUAAAAAAAAAACAAGUUACAUGUUAAACAAAUGGUCGAAGGAAGAUGUAUGAUUCUUUGAAAGCUUUCAAAAGGGUAAGAAAAAACUAAAGCAAUUCUGAGAAAAAAGUGAAGGUGAAACGAAAAAAAAUGAAAACUGUCACAGCAAGGAGAUUCUAAAAUGCAUGGAGCCAUGGAGGUAGAUAUGGAGGAGGAGGAAAAUGGUGGGGGGAAGGGGUGGGACCCCAUCCAUCAACAGAUCAAUGAUUAGAUGGAUGCAUAUCUAACAUCAGAUCAGUCCUGAGUAUGUGUCAAUUGGUAGAAAGAAACCUAAGAACGUGAGAAGGGUUAAAUCUUUAGAGGACCCCACAAGAGUGGUAGAUCCAGACAAUCUCAAUACGGGACUCGGAAUAAAAAAGGCCAUAAAAAGCUAAUUUACAACUUGGGCGGCCAAAAGGUUAAAAGAUCUGGGGCAACCCACGGCGCACUUCAGUCUUUUUACACUUCCCCAAAGCCAAAAAAGAAGAAAAAAACAUGCACAUAGGGGUCUUCAACUUUAGCAACUUUACUGUAAAUCUAGUUUAAUUUAAUAUAAUUUUCUUUUUAGCAGUUUGAGGUCCACAAAUUUGUGUGACAUAAUGAUGUUGGUCAAAUGUCAAAUAGCACCACCCACGGUGCACGUUAGACUCAGUUGCUGGAGAACAGGAACCAAACAAAAAAACAGACAUCAAGUACAAAAGGGUUGCCCAACUCUAACAUGCACCAUGGAAAAUCUCAACCAAAAAAAUAUGGCCUCCUCUGCCUCUGGGGCCUGCCUUUCUAUGUCCUAGCUAGUAGCUAAAGCCAUAGCCAGCACAGUAAACAGUGAACAAAUUAAGCUGAAAAUGCAGAAAGAAAAGCAAGAAAUAUUUUAGUGAAGGAAAAAAAAAAACUUCUACUCUUUGAGGUCUUUUUUUAAAAUAUCACUGACGUCAACUGGUUUCUGACACUUUAGAUUUGAUAUGCCAUCACUAAUUGCCUGACACUUACCACGCCAUGCCUUUUCUUUUUUUUUUUGGCAUUUAUAAAAGGACAAUUUUACCCCUGACUUUGAACUAUUCACUUUGACCAAAACUUGGAAUGUGCUCAAAGAAAAUCUUAAUGGCUCAACAUUUUAACCCAAAUAAACAGCCUGAAAUCUGACAACUCAAUGGAGGUUAGUGAAGCUUGAAGCAAUCUCAGUGGAGGUGUUGGAUGAUUAUAAUUGAAAAGGACCAAAAGAAAAGAACAAGUCUUUGCACACUUACUGGUCGAGGUUGAUGAGUUUCUCCCCGUCAUCUUGACCAGAAGAAGACAAUGACACAAGGGUCCUCUGGGUUGCGUGAGCUGCCUUCUCAAGCGCCCUGUCAGCCUUCUGCGCAGAGAACCCACGAGGGCCAUGCUUCUCGCCCUCAUAAAAAACCCUCAUAAUCAAGCUCAGAUUAAGAGCCAGAGACAGAACAAGCAAGUUUCUCAUUGUGCAAAUGCUCAUAAAAUUGGCCAUUCUUUUCUUUUCUUUUUUUGGUUUGAAAACAAGAACGAAAAGGAAACAAAGUAUUGAAAACAGAGUGCUGAAGAGAACAGAGUAUUGAAAACAGAGCGCUGAAGAGAAGAGAGUAUUGAAAACAGAGUGCUGAAGAGAAGAGAGUGAGCUCAAGUGUGCUUAGUGCUUGCUUCAGUGAGUGAAUGUGAGGAACUCAAACACUCGAGGCCGGUUUUAUAGCAAAACCCAGAAGAUGAAACCAAAGUUCAUGUGACAGAUGGACGGUAAAGAGGCGAGUUUAACGCAUACAAUCCCGGAUUGUCUGGCUUACGGUUCAAAUUGACUGAAACCGAUAAAUUCAAACCUGACAAAAAGCUUUGAAACUGUUGGUUGGCAGAAAGAUAAAAAUAAAUGAGACGGUUUUGAAGAUUUGGAAGGACUCUCAGAACUCUCAGAUUCCCGGGGUUUCUAGAGCUCUGUUCCUAACUUUCAUGAAAUUCAAAGCUCUGUUUUGGGAUUGAGAGGAACGCCAAAAUGAAAAUGAAGCAAAAUUGAUGAAGUUGGGUAGGUGUCAAAAUGCUAAGGGAAGGUACAGAGCACACUUGAAAAUACUUCCGCCCGGAGAUUUUCUCAGGAAACAAAAAAAUCCCAAUACGAUUUUCCAAGAAAAUCGCGGCUUUCCGACGCUAGAUCUCGAAAAGAAUAAAAACCUAAUAAGAGUAGUAUAUAUAAACAUAUGGCAGGUAUAUAGAUGCACGGAUUACUACAUGCUCUGUCUCCAUCUUCCGUUUGCCUUUUGGCCCUGUUUUCUAUUUCCUAUUUUUAUUUAUAUAUUUUUAAAUUUGAUGCUUUUGAUUCUAUUUUAGUUAAUAAAAAUGGUGUUUUUGAGUUGUAAACAAUUUGGAGUUUUGAUUUGGACUGGGAACGAGAGGAGGAAGAGAUAGUGACUACUCAGAGACACAGGAAAUUUGGUAACACUUUUGUCCAUUUGGGUUUUUGGCUAAUCUCCAUUUGAAAGUGAAACUUUCUGUUUGCGUGCUUCUUUUUCUUCUUGUUUUUUGUUGGUUAGGUUUUAUCUUCUUAAAUGGGGUGCUGUGUUUGUAUCUAUUGAUCUUGUGUCUCUAACCCUAUGUUUCAUUAAAAAAAAAAAGUUUAGGCUCUAAUUAAAAUUUGGUAGCUCUAUGUGUCAAUGAACAGAUUGCAUAAACUAUGAUUAGUUAUCAGUUAAGACUCUUUUAUUAGGGUAUUAUAUAGCAUACCCUUACUAAAACAUUAUUGUACUCCCAAAAUUUAUACUAUAAAGAGAAUUUUCUAUGCUCAUGUCCAUCGUUUUUCACGAAACAUGAAAAGAAAAAGUUAUCUUAUGGUCGUAUUAUGUUUAUAAUCAUUGAUGUAUUCUAAAUCUAACAAAAAAUUAUUAGUCGUCAUUGAUGAUGUAUAUGUGCGUGGUGGUUAAUAACGAUUUUUAACCGUUUAUUUGUCUAUACCUAAUUUAUAAACGACAACAAUAUAACGCAAUCUUUAGCGUUAACGGUUUUAUUCAGGUUUGGUCACGACAUUAUCUAUAACGGACUAUAGCAAAUCCUAACGAUUUUCUCUGUAUACGACCACAUUAUAUAAAUAAAAAUUACAACAUAAUGUAUUUGGCCCUUUUUUUGGGUAAUGAAUCAUAACCGAUUUAUAGAUGUUUGUUCGGUCGUAUUUUGUUUUCUAAUCAUUGAUGUAUUCAAAAUCUAACAAAAAAUUAUUAUUCGUCAAUGAUGAUGUAUUUGCGUGGCGGCUAACAACGAUUUUUAAUUGUUUAUUUGUCUACACCUAAUUCAUAAACGACAACAAUAUAACGCAGUUAUUAGUGUUAACGGUUUUAAGUUUGGUCACAACAUUGUCUAUAAAGGACUAUAGCAAAUCCUAACUGUUUUCUUUUUUGUCUCUACAACCAAAUUAUAUAAAUAAAAUUUACAAUCGAAUGUAUUUGGCCUCUUUUUUUUUUUUUUGUUUGGUAAUGAAUCAUAACUGAUUUUUAGAUGUUUGUUUGUACGUCAAAAGUAUCUGCAAAACCUCACGACAUGCUUACAACUCAAAUUCAAAAUGAACACGAAUUGAAAUCAAACAAUCUUGUUAAAUUAUUAAAUAUUUUUUUUGGUCAGAUUUCAUGGAAUAUGACGUUGCAAUAGAAAUUGGAAGUUAUGAUGGCCGACAAUUGACUAAGAAAAACUAAACAAUACACAAACCCACCUGAAAAUAGAUUAGAAGAAAAAUGCAUAAACAAGCUCAUAAGAAGAAUAGUACCAAACUGACCAAGUUUGCAAGAAAUUGACACAAACUCAUCUGAAAAAUAGAUUGGAAGAAAAAUGCAUAAACAAGCUUAUAAGAAGAAAGAUUGGAUAAACAAGCAUAGAAGAAAAAUAAUACCAAACUGAAAAGGAAAGAAAAAAGAAAAGAAAAAAAAGACACAAACUCACCUGAAAGUUGGUUGACCAAACUUUGCGCAAUGGCGUCACACAUGAAUCAUGAUUAUUAUGGCAAGAGAAACUCAAUAAGGAAAUGACAUGAACUCACUUGAAGAAAAUAGCUUUGAAGAAGAAGCCAAAAAAAAAAAAAAAAGAACAAAAUUUUGCUAGAAAAUAGCAUGAUGUCGCCUGAAAAUUGCUUGACCAGGCAAUGGUAUUAUUAGAAAGUAAUAAUUAAGAGUAAUUUUUGGAUGAGAUAUUGAUUGUGAUAGAGUGGUCCUAACAUAAAUCUUAAUUUCCACGGUAGAAAUAAACACUAAAAUCAUAUGGAAUGCGACAUUCAUGUCAUUUUCAUUACAGGUAAAUAAACAUGUCAUUUUAAAAAGUCCAUAAAUUGAAGAAUAAAAAAGAGAGAUUUCCUUAUGGCUCUAAAAGUUAAACUUUAUGAAGUAGUAUAGUGGAUUAAAGUCUUAAUGAUUACAUGGGAAAAAAGACGGUUACAAAAUCGUUAGGAAGCCGAUGAACUUGAAAGGAAUGCACAAGACCUAACCCACUGGUGACAUGACUGCCCCAGGAAUACGAUGUCGUAUUAGUAAAGUACUGUGAGCACAUGCGCACACUAUUAUUAGUGUUUAAGGUCUCCCACUAAGGCACUGGCAUGGCAUGGCAUGGCACCACUUGCAUUAACAAAGUUUAAGAAAGCUAAAGCUUUCGUGGGUGUUUCUCUCAGUUGAAAUAGCACUCAAACGAAGUGAUAUCCUUACCACUUUGGCCGAUGAAGAAUUUGGUUACGAGACUGGUUGUAGAAGGCAGAUCAAACAAAUUUUAUAUGUUGGUUUUGGACAGAGUGGAUGAAAACGAGAUGGAAGGGAUGAGACACGUAUACUCCUAGAGCUCUCUCUCUCUCUCUCUCUCUCUCUCUCCCCUCUGCUUAUUAUUUGUAGGGUCCACAAAAUCAGCAAUGCGAAUAAUGAAUUAAUAAAUAGGAAGACUUGGGGACCUUGAAACCCUGGACCAUAAUGUUAAUGUUAUUGAGAGCUCAGUCAUGGUAAUCUAAUCUCCCCCCAAAGCAAUGAAUAAAAGAUUGGAAAACAAAACCCUCCUCUCCUAGUUCACAUGCUUUGAUUGAUGGCUCAGCAGCCCUCUCACCCUGAUGCAAUUCAAGUCUGGUCACUUUCUGCCCCUACCAAAAGUGGUCCAUCUAGCAAUCAAAACCUCUCCAUUCUCAAAGCUGCACUCAUUAAGGAGAUGGUCCUUCUUAAAGACAGAAAAUAUAUUCAUAAUUUCUAACCGAAAUGGUCCUUUAACUUAGGUCCGUGUUUCAUUUUGAUCUUUUAACUAAUUUUUCCACACAAAUGGUCUUUCAACUCUCUCUUUUGUGAGACCAAUUUGACACUAAAAAGCGAAUUAGAAGAACAUUGACUUGAAAAAAUUAGUAGGGGAACCAAAGUCGUAAUCAUUUCGGUCGAAAAGAUAAAAAGAUACUGCAUAUGUUAAACCAGUCGAGUCGUUAACCUUCAUCUCAUAGCAGCAAACUGUUAAAACUGAUGGCCAAAACUCAAAAGUAAAGUUUUAAGGGACGGCAGGGCAUAUCUGUCACCUGCAAACCAACUAUCACGCCCCUAAAGUCUGCAUAGCUCUGUGAUGUAAAAAGCUGAAGCUGUCACUUGUUUCAACGCUUCAAAGUGUUCCUUUCCAGUUGAGGUCCAUCAGUUUUGUCCCCAAGCUACAUCUAGCCCAGGAUAGAAAAUUCAAACACCGAGUGUCCUUGCCAAAACCAAUUAUUAUAAAUAGGAAAAAAGUCACUUUUAUUUUCGGUAGUUUGUCAGUUUUAUUAAUUUGGUCCCUAUCGUUUUAAUUUAAUUAAUUUUAUUCAUGUGAUUUUAAUUUAAAGUAAUUCAAGUAUAAUUCUCAAUUUCUGUCAUCUUUUUUCUAAAACUUCUGUUAGUUAUAGAGGGGCAAUUCGGUCCACAAAUUAUUAUUCUCUUUAAAAAUAAUUUUAAAAAUAAUUUAAAUAACCAGCCAUCCCCACAAACUAUCGUCUACCGACCACCAUCGAGCCACCGCCACCAUCCAUAAACUUUCUUCUCCGACCAAACAAAAGGGAAAAUUCCCUCAUCUCGCUUCCAAAUUUUUUAUCAAGGCACCCAUGCCUCCUCUUUCGCGAGUUCAUAGCUUUGCCGACCAAACCCCUUGUUGUGAGUUCAUAGACUGAGAUAGAGAGUGACAGAUACAUACAAAGACAGAGAAAGAGAGAGGAGAUUCACAGAGAGACAGCCAAACCCCAGCCUCGACAUAAAUGACCUCCACCUUCCGCACUCGCCUAGCCCCACCCCUUCACCCAGAAAAUAUAAAACCCAACCCCACCCUUUCACCCGCGCACCGCGCCCAGCCCCAGCCCUAACCAACCUCCCUCUCUCCAAAUCCGACGAGCCCCACACUAGAUUGCCAAGGCCACACCACCGUCUUCGUCAAGGCCACGCCAUAGUCUUUGUCGUCAAGUUCUUCGACUGCCGCAACCCACAGAUCCAUCCCAACCAAGUCUAGAUGAGAGAGAGAGAGAGAGAGAGAGCUCUUUUUUUUUUUUUUUUUUUUCAAUUUUAAGAUUAUUAUUUUUCAAAUGAAUGACUUUUUAAUUUUUUUUACCAAAUUACCCCUCCACAACAAACAGAAAGUUAAAAAAACUAACAGAGAAUUGCCCUUGAAUUACAUUGUCCUAUAACUUCAAAUUGAAACUAGAUGGACAAAAUUGGCAAAAUUGAAACAUGGACCAAGUUGUAAAAGUGACAAACUACAGGGACCAAAAGUAACUUUUUGCCCUAUAAAUAACAUCUAGAUAUGGCAACUAUCAUGUCUUAUAAUAUUUCGUUCAAGGGCAUAGAAAAUUUAAACAAGUAUUGAUCCGUUUGGUGAAAGCUAGUAAUUUACAUUCACACGAAACACACAACAAAUUUCAAGUCACCAGUCACUUUAUAUUUACACACUAUUUACAUGAAUAAAUAAAGAAAAGGAAAGCGAGGUAAUUAUACAUUGACCCAGAUCUAGAAGCACAUUGCAAAACAAGAGAGUAAAUAAGAAAAAGAAGAAUUAAAAUAAAAACAUAUAAUUAAAUGUACCUCAUAAAUCAUAUCAACAACAUCAGCAUAUUACUGGCCAAAUCCACCACUUUUGGGUUGAACUUCUCCAUUGUUCAUCAGCUUAUCCAGCACAACAUUAAUGUCCACUGAUUGCCCAUUCUCAGUCAUUUUCUUCACUGUUGCUCUGACUAUGUCCCUUCGGAAUCCCAUUGUUACAACCUCAUCAAUGACAUUAUCAAUUGGUAUUCUGUUUCCAGUCACACCAGAACUUGACUCCUUAUCCAUACUCGAGGCCAUAGGUAUUGCAUAUGGCAACACCUGGGCAGUUGGCAGUCUCGAAAUGCUGCUUCCACCAGAACGGUCUAAAGAGGCUGGCAAGAUUUGUGAGUGUUUCGUUUUUGAACCGCUGUUGUGAGAUGGAGAUCCUUCAUGGGAAUAAAAAUCAUCAUAAGUUGAAUGUUGAACUGGUUGCAUAUGCCCAGCAAAUAAAUCUGAACAAUGAUUUCUUGUGGAUUGAUCAUGCGUAUACUGGGAAGAACCCAUGUACUGUUGUUGGGUUGGGAGAGCCAUGCCAGUUGCAUUAGAGGGUUUAUGCAUGCUUGGAGGAUAUCUUUGAGAUAACAUGUAGGGGAUUUCUCCAGGAUUAUGAACCAAUGAAGACUGGGCUUGUGGAUCAACUGCACUGAGAGGCGGGUGCAAUUCAGGUAGCCGUUGUAAUUGUGAGGUUGAUGAAAGAUGUGGUGCUGGUGGAUAAUAUUGAUAUGGUGCUGUGGGUGGUGGUUGUGACUGCUGAACUUGAGGCAUAUAGUACAUCUGAGGUGCGGGUUUUGGAUUCAAGACAGGUGGCAAGUAGUUAGAAUCUGUCUGUUGAACAGAAGGGAUUUGAUUCUGAGGUGAGUGAGUAUGAACUUGUGUUGCAGGUGCUGGUGGCAAAUUCUGAUGGGGUUGGGUUGGGGGAACAUUAGGAGGAAAAGAAGAAAGUUGUAGACAAGCAACAGGAGUUGAAUGUGGUUGGUGGCUUUGUUGAGGGGCAGAUGACAAAACUCCCUGAGUUGAAAUUGUUUGUACAUUGCUCCUUUGGUUUUCCAAUUGCUGGUGACCCUUUAACAUUUGAAGAGUUGCAAGCUGCAGCUUAGCCUCUGAUAUCUCUUGUUUAUCUUUCAAAUCCUGCAUACCACCUUCAACCUGCAAUUUAUUUACAAACAACAUGAACCAUAUCAAGAAGCUGCUGGCAGGAAUCGCAGAAUCUCCUGUACACCACUAUUACUUGUUUUUUUUUUUCCAGCUUACAACAACGCUUAAACCUAGUUUUCACCUGCUUCAACAUGAUUGUAUUAUUUAACCCAUUGUGCUAACAGGACAUCUUCAACAUUUCUCUCAUAGUUCAAAAGGGACAUUACUCAAAUUAAAAAUCAGACGACUAGUUAGACACUAGGUUCAACUUUGGUGCUCAGCAAAGAUGAUCAUUUACAAUAUUGUGAAUGUUACUGUGUUAUACUAGUAGAAGUUAUGGCAUGCAAAAUCAGAUCAGAUAAAUUCCUGUGAAAAGCCUAUUUGACUAUAAACCUGUUAAAUAUGAGCUUCGAGCCAACAAAUUUUCUAUCAACUUAUCUGCCUCUAGCACCUAAUUUGUACAAUCAAAAUUAUCCAUCCUCUAAGUUUAGCACCAAUAAUGCAACCUAAUUGACUGGUUAAACGGGAAAUGUACGGUUUACAAUACCUGUCUUAGAAUAUUCUCAAGUUGUCUAAGUUUCCCAUCAUUCCUGCCAUGGUUAAUUUCAGUAGAAUCCUUCAAGUCGUCAACUGAGUUCUCUAGUCGGCGUAAGCGAGUCUCCAGUUGGGAAAGUCGCGCACUGAGACCCUCCACCGCAUGCAGCAUAUUGUCAAAAUGAUGGCUCAUCUUCUGACCAAUCACCGAGAUCAAUGCCGAGUCAUCAAAAGCCCCGGCAUACUUGCAACCCGAUUUUGCAAGGUCAAUGUGGUCCAUAGAACUGCAAUUCUGUGAGUCAUAAUAACAGAAGCAAUCACUUGAAAAUCUACAACAAUCAUGAGCAGGAAUCAACACAGUACACCCCAGCCGACAUUCAGUAGAUUGAGUUCUCUAUCUUCCUCACUUAAUUCAAUUUCAUUUAACAAUAAAUAAAGGGAAAAAAAACUUGAGCAUCUCUAUGCACACCCACAUAGACAUGAAUUAAGAAGAGUUAAAACAAAACUCAUCAGAAACUUUUGAUGCUACCAUUAUACCAAUUCCAGUUAGUGCCCAAAUUCUAUUCUACUAAACACAGAAAGAUUCAAACUUCAGAUAAAUAAUCCAUCAAUUCGAAAAUUUAGUUGAAGCUUGAAAUGCAUACCUCGAAAGUGGAAACGCGUGACUGCUGCGAGACGACAUGUCGCGUGGGGCGGAAGUGAAAGCUGGAAACUGAGUCGUCGUCCUUGUCCUCAUCGUCUCGGAGGUCACGAGGGUAUGAAAGUUGAGAUAAAUCGUCGGAGUGGGACCGAGAAAGUUCCAUGAUCUGCUUAUCCAUGAACUCCGACGACGUCAUGGCGCUCGGAGUUUCCUUUGCCCCUUUCCUGCACUUUGGCUCAUAUUUUCUGAGAUUCCAAACAGAGGAUUGUGCUGUGCGUUGGCCCAACGGAACUGUCAACGGGAAAAUUGACUAGCUGUUAAAAGAAGAGCCCCAGAGGUCGCUUGAUCAUGUUUGAUAAUAUCCUUUCCUUUUUCUUUUCGGGUUAGCAGGCCAAAAGAUGUGGGCUGGAUCAAUGGAAAGGUCAUCAAGACAUGCACAUUUGAAGCCCAACUAGGAAAAAUAUAAUGCUUAAUUAUUAUUUUUUUCACCAUUCGCUUCUAGGUAGGGGGAAGGAAGAGAGAAUAUUAUAGUGGGUUCACCCCACGUGCAUGCUUAAUUAGUUGUUAACUUUCUCUAUUGCUGGCUUCGUUGUUGUGAACUUUACUUUUGUGUCCUUACCUAAUUGAUUUUGAUCACUACCUCCAGCCCAAACACAAAUUAAUGAAUCAAGUUUUUCUUGAUGAGUUCAUUGACCCGUUUAAAUCAUAUGGUUUUAAGUUUGGGUUAUUAUCUUGCACGUCAUUCUUGUUUUACGAGUUUAUAUUGGAGUCGAAAAUAUUGAACACUUUGAUAUAAACUCGUAAAUCACAAAUGGGGUGCAAAAGAAUAACUUAAACUGCGCCUUCGUGCCAUAUGUAGCCGUUGUAAAAGCUAAGAGAGUUAUGACCAUCAAUGGCAAGAAUAAGAAGCAAAAAGAAAGUGAGUGGAGAAGGAGAACAAGUAAUCGGAGAAGAAGCAGAAAAAUUGGAAGACGUAGGAAAGCCUCUGACCACGUUCAACAUGCAGAACAAUUUAGCUGAGGUUUCUUGACAUUUGACUUACAAUUCAGUGAUCAUGUUUUCUACUUUCUUCUUUUGAAUUAUAAUAUAGUUGAAAAUAAUUCAGUAACAACUGCAGCCUUACGGCAGAUAGAACCCAAGCAAAACUUACUGCAAUAUUAUGAAAUCAUCGAUCCUAACACAUGACUAAAAUAAACUCCGCAUAUCUAUUAGGAAAAAACAAGGAACACAGUUGAUCACAUGGAUCAUCAUCAAAAAGAAAAGGAAAAAGAAAAAGAAAAAGAAAAAAAAGGUGCAAUACAUUACAUUGAUGAAAUCACAUGAAAAAUUAAUUUAAUUGUAAGAAACCAGCUAGCAGAGUCCAUUAAACUGGGGUACAACCCAGACUGCAGGCGGUAUAUACCCCUGCAAAUCAGAAUAAGGAUCUAAGGAGAAAUGUUGUGUGAUGGUUCCGCUCUCUAAAUUAAAAAUACCCAUAUCACGACAUGGCAUAUCGUCAUACAGCUUAUCGACUUGGAAAUUACCUUGGAAAUCGUGUCGGUGUGUAAUAUACGAAUAUGAGAAAUCAUGGGUGUAAUAUAUGGAAUUUGAUUGACAUCCAUGAAAAUCUGAAGUCAAAACAGAGACUGAAUGAUUGUCACCUAUGAAGAAGACAUCAUCUCCUAUGCUUUUUACAUGAACUUGUAAAACAGAUCCGUCUUUGUCGUCGAACACCGCCUUAUAAACCCUAAAGCUUUCAGUCAUAACAUUCUUGUAGGCCCCCUGCGUUCGUUUAUACACUCUUUCCAUAUGCAUUAAGUCUCCCUUGGUUGAUUCUACAAGAUAUCUUAUAGAUCUAUGAGCUCGGGCGUCUUCGAACAGAGGUGUAAGUGGAUUUAUUGGUAUUCGUGAACAAGCUUGGUUAUCAACAUCUAAUGACAUAAUAUCUCCCCGAUAUCCAACUAGGUAGACUUUGUUUUUGUAAGAUAUAACAUCAGAGACCGGACUUGGGGUCCUAAUCCAAGUCCAAUCUUUUUGGCUCUGACCUCUUUUCAUAUGGAUGGAUGCCACAAUAUGUCUAGCUUUACAUAACAGUGCCACAACCACAUAGUUAUCUAGACUCAAAGCAGGGUCAGCAGAGAAGAUGACCUUUUUCACAUUGAAUUCGUGGAAGUAUUUGUCACAUUUCUUGGGCAUGACAUCCAAGAGAGGGAGAAGAAUGGGCGAUGCCGGAUUUCUGAAAGGGUCCCGGAGUGCUAUAAUCGGACCUUGGUCUGUGACGGAUUCUAUUGUGGCAAACCAACCGUGGCUAGAGCCACAUGACCUCUUUUUAAAAGGCACUUCCAAUCCAAUAUUGUUGUAGAUUUUGCCUUCAGCAAUGCUGUAUAAUGCUUUUCGGUGGUUCGUUUUCGUUAGGAGGAGGCUAUUCUUGCCGCCGCCGCCGCCGCCUUGACAUUCAUAUUCAUUAGGGAUCAAGAGCAUGGGAAGUAGGUUGUUAUGCCGCCACCGCUGUGUUGCUUAAUUAUAGUCUUUUGCAAGAGAACGCCAUUGCUUGCAGACGGCAGCAAAAGAAACAUGGUCAAUGGGCUCAAACAAAUUAUCUAGAACCAAAAACACAGGCAGCAGAGGAAGACUUGCCCAUUCUGGUGAUGAUAUGUACCUACUGCAACUGUAGUAUUUGAAGGCAACACCAGCGGCCAUGUUCCCACAACGACGCUUCUUAUUAUUAGGGUACAUGACACCAAAACGAACAAGCACUACAAAUUAAGAAGAAGAAGAAGAAGAAACAAAAUAUUGUACGUACCAAGAAACCAACCCUAAGAUUUUCCUGGCUAUUUAUAAAAUAUACGAAGCGGGUAGAGAAGAGAUAACACAUUAGCACAAGUCCUCUUGUAUGUAUAGAACUCAAAAUCGUAAUAAUCUCAUAGUAAGUAAUUAGGCAAUAAUAAUAUAAUAUUGCAAUAUUUUCGUUUUCUUUUCCUACUUCUUAUUAUAAUAUAUUGUUCGUUUAUUUCCUCGUUCAAUGGCAAGAGAAUCAAGUACGGUAAAUAUUGGCUUUGUUUGGAAGGCAAAUAUUAAGUGAUAAAAUAUUAUAUUCUUGUUAAAUUGUGGCGAUUUGAUAUGAUUUUUCAAGGAUUUCGUGGAACUAUAAAUAACAAUUCUUUUGCAACCAGAAUUCUUAUACACUAAGUAAUCUUGGCCUCCAAGGAAUUAGGUCAGUCAACCAACCACUACUGUAUUUGUACUCACGUGCUCGGAUUAGGGCAUACCAUUUUUAGAGCCGGCAUUGGGGGUGGGCGAGAGGGGCCUUGGCCAUGGCCCUCCAAUUAAGGGGCCCUAAAUUUAUAUACAUAUAUACUAUUAUCCAAUUUAUUAUAAAUAAAUAAAGCAAUUAAAUUAAAUUUCUUCGUUUCCUCUAUCCAAAAAGUUUCUUCGUUACCCACGCAAAAGCAGAAACAUGUGCUUGACGAAGGCGACUCCUUCCCAGAAGGCGAUUCCUCUCCUAGUUAGUUUCUGCCUGGAAGAACUCUAUUUAAUCCACCCAUCUCUUAAUAAUCCACCACCAUAUUUUCUCAUUUCUCCCCAUCUCUCUUCAAUCCAUCCAUUAUUUUCAAUUUCUCUCAUUCUUUUUUUUCUCAUAUCAUAUUGUAACCCUAAGAAUCAAUCUCACACUAAAAAGCUCACAAAUUGUCUUGGAGAUUGAUGGUGACCAAGAGGAGAGGAACAUGAGAAAUUGAAAAGGUAAUAUGAUUUAUAAUUUAUAAUUUUAUUUUUUCAUACAUUUGUUCCUACCCAUCAAACUAUUUUUUCAAUUUCUAGAUUAUACAUGGACAAUGACUUUGAUGUUAAGAGACUUAGACUCUACUUUAUAAUGACCAUGUAGGAUUAUGCUCUAUAAUUAUUUAUUGUAAAAUCAUUAUUCAAGCGCUCUAUGCUAAGGGAAGGGCCUUAUUUAGUUUAUCACCUAGGGCCAGCCCUCGGUAUGCUUAGCAUAUUGCUCAUGUUUAUGAUCUGGUCCAUGUUUAUUAACUGUGCGAUCGACAAAUUAGACAGCAGCAGAUCUCGAGCAAAAGAAAAGACAUUGAAUAGUACGUGUUUAAAACUAUGAUGAUGUAUGAUCCAUGUAAACCAAAACCAAGCACUAACAAAAGCUGAGGGAAGGGAAGAAAACCAUUUCAUUUGAUCUCUCAACGUCAUUUGUGAGCCCCUCCAUAUGUUUGUGCAAAAUAUUGUAUGUAGAAACACAAAAUAUAGUUAAAAAUAUAAAAUGCCAAAUAAUAUUGCGCCAGGGCAUUAGAAGUACCAUUUAGCAUAUACAUUCUACUAAUACGAGAGAUAUCUAAAAUUUCAAUUGAUAUAUUACCGACCUUCAAAUUGACUUUUCAGUUCUGCAUUUAGGGAUUUUUGCAAAGCAAGUUUCAUGGAUAAUUCCUGCAUCUGCAGACCAACAAUAGCAAAUCAUAUUAAGCAGAUCAUCACAACCAAACAGACGACCACCUCCAAGAGAAUAAGAGUGCAUACAUUUGUUAGAAAACAAAAUGAGGACAGUAUAUUUGAAAGCAUGCACCUAUUAACACAUCGAAGAUGUUCAUAUUUGCUUCGGUUCUAACAGUAGCAUACUUCGGUGGCAAAAGCAGUAUUAUUUUAUUUAAAAGGACUCUGAUGCCCAAAUUUUUUGAAACAUUUAAUGCUUGCAAAUAAACAUCCACAGUCUAACCUAAUCCCCCUCCAAAACGUUGAAAAGAAAGACUUGUCAAAAUUUGCAUGUAGGGAAAUUGCAGAGUCCUCUAUUAAUUUCUCACACCCAGGAAAAUUCGACGAAUAAAAAAAUUGCAAGGAAAAACAAAAGAUGGUGGUUAUAGCUGAGGAUAAAAUUAACUCAAGAUACUGAAUGCACAUAAUAACAUCUAAAAUAUAGUGAACGCAACUGCAGCACCUUUCCCUCAGAAGCUUCCUUGCCUAUCUCCUCAUUUUCCUCUUGCCGGGUCCUACAUUUAGCCAUUAACUGCUUCCCCAUCUUGCUUGUAGGAGUAAAACUGAGAAGCUUCCUUUUUCUUUGCUUUCUCUAACUGAUAGGAAGAACAAACCAUGAACAAAAAGAUGAAGAAUGCUAAUGACUUUUGAAAAGAAACAUUCACUAACCUGUUCUUUCAAUGACUCCUCAGAGUUCUUCAGGGACUGAAGAUAAUUGGUGACCAAUUUAGGAUCUAGAAGGAUAGGUUGAAAUCACCUUUUUAAUGGACAUACAGAAGAUGCACCUAAAAAAAUGACGAGGAAUUGACUCUCUAAAACAUAUAAUUUUACAUAAUACAACAAGAAAGGGACCCUAAAAGGCUAGUGUUCAUUCAGAAAUGAAGAAUGCUGCUUUCAAAUCUCAGAUUUUGCAGCUUCAAGUUCCAUCUGAAACGAAGGGAAACAAUCCAUUAACAAAUAGAGAAUUUAACAAUGAAUCAAAAGCAUAUAACAAGUAAGACUCUAGUGAAUGUAUCAACAAGUGCCAAGAAAUUCUUCGAGUUUGUGAUGAAAUUACGUUCAUUUAAUAUUUAAUAUUUAUCACCACAACUAUAAGCAUCCAAUAUUUUACCUAGUUGACUAAAAGAAAUUCAGAAUUUAUAUUUCGAUAUCUGAAGAAAAGGUUGAACAACAAAUACAUACUUGGCAUGUUGCAAGAGUAUCUUUACAGUUUUGAAGACUGCAAAAAGAGUUGCAAUAAAAGUAUAAAAAUCAGGACCUAAAGAAAAUUCAAUGCAUUAUAAUUUCCAGUGAUAUAGAAGUUUAAUCAGUGAAGCAUAACCCAUUGUUCCUCAAUACGUUUCAUGAAGAGACAAAAUCAUUCCUGUUGCAACACCAGGAGCAGUUUCUUCAACUUUUGAGUUCCCUGCAUUGUACACAUAAUCAUUAGAUAAAAUGAACAAAGGAGAAUAUAUACCGCAGAACUCUCUUAUAUAAGCAAGAAUUUGUGGAAGCCAAUGCAUGCAUGUAACUUCUUAGAAAUAGAGACCGGUUUACACAUAACAAAAUCCUACUCUUUAACAUAUUUUCUGACAUUGGACAAAAACUGCCACAUCCCAAGUAUAACUCUUCUAAAAUCUGAGAUAACCUUCACAAAAGUCAUACAUUACCUUUUAACUUUUUUUUUCCCCACAAAUGCAACAUCAUGCUUAAAAUACGCAUCAUAUGAGCAUUCAUAAAUAUUUGGUUCUUCACCUAAACUAUUCUGUCGGAUUAACGCACUAAUUUACAACAAUAUUGUUGCAGAAAUAAAAAAUACACUUUUGACUUUACCAAUGUUUCAUACAUGUCCAACCAAGACAGUAAAGGAAGAACAGAUAUACACAAAGAGACACAUUUACAUAUAAUGGUAAAGGUUCAACAUUUCCUAGAUUAGAAUGCCCGUAAUGAAUAAGAAAAGACCUGUUUUGAGCCAAAAGGAAAAAAAAAAAUCCUCUUCUUCGUCUCAAGAUCCCCAAAGCUUCUCUUUUACCUAAAUCUAUUUUUUUUAAUAAAUUAAUUAAUUUCUUUUUAAUAAAAAGAAGGAUAAAGAAAUCAAUAAGAAAUAUUCAAUCGCACGUUGGAAGCCAGUGUUUGGUUGCAAGGAAAAUGAAGCAUACCACGCCGCCUGAAAUUGUGAGUUCCAAGAAAAUGGCCUCCGAAAUGAUCAUCCUGUAUUGAACAAAAACGCAUUCCAAUUAAUCACAAACUAAAGUCAAUAAAAACUGGGGCAAUAGCAAGGGCACCGGAGGCCUUACGUCAUCGAUACGAUUGUGGGUAGCCAAGCCAUGGAGCUUGAAUUCUCAAAACCCUAGAACUUGAUUUCGAAGAAUGAGAGGAUAGAGGCAACGACAUAAUAUUAUUAUUAUUACCGGCCAAAAUCAACCACUUUGGGGUUCAACUUUUCGGGAUUAUUGGUCUUAGGACAAGCCCAAUGAUGGGUGUGGUUGCAAACCUCCGUUGGGCUGAGGCAUUUAGAGCCCACUAUUGCAGCCUUAAGGCAGAUGGAACCCAAGCAAAACUUAGUGCAAUAUUAUCAAAUCAUCGAUCUUAACACAUCAGUAAAAUAAACUCCACAUAUCUAUUAGGAAAAGAAAAAAAAACAGGAACACAGUUGAUCACAUGGAUCAUCAUAAAAAAGAAAAAGAAAAAGAAAAAAAAGUGCAAUACAUUACGUUGAUGAAAUCACAUGAAAAGUUAAUUUAAUUGUAAGAAGCUAGCUAGCGGAGUCCAUUAAACUGGGGUACAACCCAGACUGCAGGCGGUAUAUAACCCUGCAAAUCAGAAUAAGGAUCUAAGGAGAAAUGUUGUGUGAUGGUUCCGCUCUCUAAAUUAAAAAUACCCAUAUCGCGACAUGGCAUGUCGUCAUAUAACGUAUCAUAUUGGAUAUGGUCUCCGUAAACAAAAGACGACGAUGAGAAAUCAUGGGUAUAAUAUAUGGAAUUUGACUGGCAUCCAUGAAAGUUGGAAGCCAAAACAGAAACGGAAUGAUUGUCACCUAUGAAAAAGGCAUCAUCUCCAAUGCUUUUUACCUCAACAUGUUGUAAAACAGAUCCGUCUUCGUCGUCGAACACCACUUUGUAAACCCUAAAGCUUUCAGUCAUAACAUUCUUGUAGGCCCCUUGUGUUUGUUUACAAACUCUUUCGAUAUGCAUUAAGUCUCCCUUGGUUGAUUCUACAAGAUAUCUUGUAGCUUUAUAACGGUGGAAGCCUGCGUCCCGAUGUGUAAGCAGCUUUAGUCGUCGUAUUCUUGAAGUAUAAGGGCUGACAUCUAAUGACCAAAUCUCUCCCUGAUGUCCAAGUAGGUGGACUUGGGUUUGGUAAGAUAUAACAUCAGUGACCGGAUGUGGGGGCUUAAUCCAAGUCCAACGUUUUUGGCUUCGGCCUCUUUUCAUACGAAUGAAAGCAAAUUCAUCAUAAAUGCCCACAAAAUGAUUAUCUUUACGUAACAGUGCUACAACCACAUAGUUUUCUGGAUUCAAAGCAGGGUCAGCAGAGAAGAUGACCUUUCUCACAUUGAAUUCGUGGAAGUAUUUGUCACGUUUCUUGGGUAUGAGUGUGACAUCCAAGAGAGGGAGAAGAAUGGGCGAUGCCGGAUUUCUGAAAGGGUCCCGGAGUGCUAUAAUCGGACCUUGGUCUGUGACGGAUUCUAUUGUGGCAAACCAACCGUGGCUAGAGCCACAUGACCUCUUUUUAAAAGGCACUUCCAAUCCAAUAUUGUUGUAGAUUUUGCCUUCAGCAAUGCUGUAUAAUGCUUUUCGGUGGUUAGUUUUCGUUAGGAGGAGGCUAUUCUUGCCGCCACCGCCGCCUUGACAUUCAUAUUCAUUAGGGAUCAAGAGCAUGGGAAGUAGGUUGUUAUGCCGCCACCGCUGUGUUGCUUGAUUAUAGUCUUUUGCAAGAGAACGCCAUUGCUUGCAGACGGCAGCAAAAGAAACAUGGUCAAUGGGCUCAAACAAAUUAUCUAGAACCAAAAACACAGGCAGCAGAGGAAGACUUGCCCAUUCUGGUGAUGAUAUGUACCUACUGCAACUGUAGUAUUUGAAGGCAACACCAGCGGCCAUGUUCCCACAACGACGCUUCUUAUUAUUAGGGUACAUGACACCAAAACGAACAAGCACUACAAAUUAAGAAGAAGAAGAAGAAGAAACAAAAUAUUGUACGUACCAAGAAACCAACCCUAAGAUUUUCCUGGCUAUUUAUAAAAUAUACGAAGCGGGUAGAGAAGAGAUAACACAUUAGCACAAGUCCUCUUGUAUGUAUAGAACUCAAAAUCGUAAUAAUCUCAUAGUAAGUAAUUAGGCAAUAAUAAUAUAAUAUUGCAAUAUUUUCGUUUUCUUUUCCUACUUCUUAUUAUAAUAUAUUGUUCGUUUAUUUCCUCGUUCAAUGGCAAGAGAAUCAAGUACGUACGGUAAAUAUUGGCUUUAUUUGGAAGGCAAAUAUUAAGUGAUAAAAUAUUAUAUUCUUGUUAAAUUAUGGCGAUUUGAUAUGAUUUUUCAAGGAUUUCGUGGAACUAUAAAUAACAAUUCUUUUGCAACCAGAAUUCUUAUACACUAAGUAAUCUUGGCCUCCAAGGAAUUAGGUCAGUCAACCAACCACUACUGUAUUUGUACUCACGUGCUCGGAUUAGGGCAUACCAUGGCAUUGGGGGUGGGCGAGAGGGGCCUUAGCCAUGGGCCUCCAAUUAAGGGCCCCUAAAUUUAUAUACAUAUAUACUAUUAUCCAAUUUAUUAUAAAUAAAUAAAGCAAUUAAAUUAAAUUUCUUCGUUUCCCCUUCCCAAAAAGUUUCUUCCUUUUCGCAAAAACAGAAACAUGUGCUUGACGAAGGCGACUCCUUCUCAAAGUCGAUAAAUAAUUCAAAAGUGCAUGUCAGAGUUUGAAUUUCAUAAUUUGAUUUUUGGGUCAAAUAUUGAAUGGCCCAUUUUAGCGCGCUUUUAUAAUUUUAACGGGCUUAAGAAUGGCCCCACCAGUACAAUGCACAAAAUUAAGCCCAAGUCCAUCUUCAUACCCGCGUUACACAGACCCGGUUAAACAAAACCCGAUUCGAGUCCGAGUCUCAAUGACACAGAGCCCUAAACUCCCACGAUGCUCUUGUUCGGGGCGAAAGCUUUCAGUAGUGGAUUUUACCAUGACCUGAAUACUGGUUGGUACUAUAGCAUGCGAGACAGUUUUCUUCCCUCUCGCCAAGUACCUCUUUCAUUCUCUUCAUUUUGGUGUUUUGAAAUCUAUUAUCUCUUUGAUAUUAGGUGGAGUGAUUUCUAGUUUGGUUGGAAAAUAUUAUUUUCAGGCUGAUAAUUUGGAAACAUAUGAAACCCAAGUGAGUGCUUCUCAGAAUCCCAUUCGAGAAGAGCUUUUUGCACAUGAAAAUGAAUGCAUAGUCUUAUAGAAUAGAAGCAGUUCCUCAGAAACCCUCAUUGCAAUUCCUAUUGUUUUUUUGUGUCAAGUGUUCUGCCCAUUAUCCUCAUCUCUGGAUUGAAACUACAAAUUUGAUGAUAUUCCAAAGUUUUAGACAUUUAAUUUUGUACUUGUUCAAAGCAGUGAACUGCUUCUUUUGUAAACCGACAACACAGAGUGCUGCAGCAGCAAUGAUCUGCCUGAAAAUCCCCCUCCCACCUCAGAAUGGUGCCCUGGUUCUCGCAUAUACCUCUGGAGAACGUGUCUUAUUUAUACUUUUGCUAUAUAUCUAUAUUAUGCUUCUUCUAAUUGUUUGUACCCAGUCAGAGCCGACCCCCGCGGACCGCAAAAAGGAACGGCGGACGGAAAAAAGGACCAACACUUAUCUUUCUCCUUUGCUGCCUCUGCUUCUUCGUCCUCCUCUUUUUCCUUUGUUGCCUCAGUGCCUCCUCUUCUACCUUCUCUUUGUCCUCUUCUUCUUCCUUCUUCUUCUCGUUUUUCUCCUUUGGUGCCUCGGCUUCUUGUUCUUGCUCUGUUUUUGUCACCUUCUUCUCCAGUGCCUCCUCCUUUUUCUCCUCAUCAAUCUUCCUUUUCAAUGCCUCUUCCUUCUCAGUUCUCAGCUCACUUAGCAAUCUUUUGGCAUUUGUCCUUUCAGUGCUUUCCACCUUACGCGUAGAAGAACCAGCAGCAGCCUUUGCUUUCUCCUCCUCCUCCUUCUCCAGAUAAGCAAUAACGAGAUUUCUAAUUGCUCUUUGAGUCAGUGGUAUGCCCAGACUUGUGUCACAUCCAUACUGACACAUCAACAUCAUCUGUUCCUCCUGGUCAAUGUCUACAGAGCCACUGACUAACCCAACAAUCAUACCUCGAAAUCCAAUAUUGUCCCUGAGAUAAGAGACAAUUUCCUGCAAUGCAAAAACAAAACAAACCAACCUUCUUCAUUUUCUUAAUCUAUUAAUAAAUUAAAUUGACACCACAAUAGUUGGAAUCAAUGUUUACCUUGCUCAACUCAUAGCCCACUACUACAACCACGUCUUCCCGGCAUCCUUUCCAAAACCGCUUGAAAAAUUCAUGUCUUGAUAUAUCUUCAGGAAUAACAGUCGGAGUCCCGGGGAUAUCGAACAUUUCUGCAUUGCCACCACCUAUAACUACAAUACGAACACACCGGAAGCAAAGAAAACCAUCUUCAUAUGGCCCUAGACCACCUAUGAAGAAAAAGAAGAAAAGACAGAAAAAGUCAAUUAAAUAAUAAUAAUAUGUUAAUAAAUUUACAAAAGAAAUCUUUCUUUUCUUCUCUUACCCGCGGAAUUACUGAGUUGCCAAACAAACUUGAAAGGGUCGGUGACGGUGGCCACCAGCACACCCGGACGCAGGGGGUCCUCGCCAACAUCUCUCAACACGUUACAUCCAUUCGUCUUUGCAAAAUCCCUUGCUGCUCUGAUGUCAGUGGAGUUGUGUAAAUUCAACUGAAGACAAGUAUUCCUGGUUUCAAACAGAGAAAAUAAUUAGGAUUGUUAAUGAAAUAAACUUUUGGCUUAGAGAAAAAAAAAUUGAAACAAACUUAUAAAACAUAAAUAAAAUAUAUGUAUACUUACAUAAGCAUGUCAUCGUCAGUUAUUAAUAAAUCACUUGAACCAAGUGUGAUUCGAUAACAAUGAAUAAGGUCCUCCUCGUCCUCUUGCCGCGGAAUGCUGUUGUAGUGCAAAGUCUUUCCUCCGAAGUAAUUACAAUAACAGUUGGUCGCGUUCGUAGCCUGGUUUGCUGGCACAAAAACUUUGGGUAUCAUGCUAAUCACUUUAAUUUCAGAGUCCAGAUGGUCAACAUUGGGCCCUGCCUCCAGAACCGGCCUUUCACAGUCUAUGACAAAUAAUAAAUUAAUUAAAACAUUUUUUUUUAUAAACAAUUAAAAUUAAUAAAACAAUUGAAAAUAUGCAAAUAAAUAUUCAAAAUUAUAAACGAUCCUAUGAGUCUAUGACAAAUAACAAAUUAAUUAAAAACUUUUUUUUAUUGAUUUUAAAAUUAUAAAACAAUUGAAAAUUUGCAAAUAAAUAUUCAAAGUUAUAAGCGAUACUAUGAUUAAUUAAAAACUUUUUUAUUUUAAAAUUAAUAAAAAAAUAUAUGCAAAAAUAUAUUCAAAAUUAUAAGCAUAUGACAAAUAAUAAAUUAAUUAAAUACUUUUUAAAAUUUAAAAUUAAUAAAAAAAAUUGAAAAUAUGCAAAUAGAUAUUCAAAGUCAUAAGCGAUCUGCGAUCCUAUGAAAAAUAAUAAAUUAAUUAACAAAUUAUUUUUAAAUUAAUAACACAAUUGAAAAUGCAAAUAAAUAUUCAAAAUUAUAAUCGAUCAUAUGAGUCUAUGACAAAUAAUAAAUUAAUUAAAAACUUUUUUAAUUUGAAAACUAAUAAAACAAUUGAAAAAAUAUGCAAAUAAAUAUACAAAAUUAUAAGCCAUCCUAUGACAAUUAAUAAAUUAAUUAAAAACUCUUUUAAAAAUAAUAACAAAACUAUUCAAAAUAUUCAAAAUUAUAAGCGAUAGCUUAUCCGAUCUUACAAAACGCAAUAGGAUUGCUUACUAUUGGUGAAUUGCCAGAAAAUUCCAUGCUCAUCUUUAACAUUCCAUUCACAAUGCUCGGCCAUCGGUGUAAAUUGCUCAGUGUUCAGAAUCUUCUUAGCGAACUGUUCCGGAUCGGAGCACCGAAGCCGGAGACACAGCAUCGGAGGCGAUAGGUCUGUCCGGGAGCGGGCCGGACAAGUGAUGAUAAGGAGAUCUGAACCUAUCAGUAUCUCAGCCAUCUCUGGAUCAUUGCUCACGAUCUUAGCACCAAAAACUUGCCGGUAGAAGCGUGCGGCAGUGGUGACCUCCGACGGAGCCACCACAAGCAGUGGCGUCAGCUCCAUUGAAUAGAAGCGGAGCUAAAUGUGGAAGAGGAAUGAGACAGAGAGCUGAUUGCAGAAAUGAGAGAGAGAGAGAGAGCUGAUUGGGGAGAGAAAUGAGAGAGAGAUGAGAGAGAGCAGAAUUUCAAAAAUCAAGGCGCGGUUUGGGUUUAUAUAGCAGAAGGGAAGCGGUAGUUUCAAAAAUUACAAGCGUGGCUUUGUUCAUAUAACGGAACAGAAGGGAAGCGCCAGAGUUAGUUAUGUUCUGGAGUCGGAUUUCAUUUUGGGUUAAUUUUUAAUUCAGGUCCGUCCGAGUUUGUUAUUGAUGAUUGAUUUUGGUUUAAUAUUUAUUUCAGGUCCGAGUUAAUUAUUGAUGAUUAGUGAAUGAAUGGGAAUGCAAGGCACCAUGUUGAGUUUGGAGCCGAUGGUUUGCCGAGCCCACGAAUACUUUCGAUGAGUAUGAUACAGAAUACUCUUUUAUUGAUGAUGCUGAGUUGGUAUUUGCAUUUAUUCAUUAAUCUGUGUUGGCCAUUGUACUGAUUUAAUUGGUGGCAUUUUAUAUUUAUGGAUUUGCUAAUGCUACUUCUUUAUGUUUUGCGCAGGAUGAGUAUUUUAAAGUUGACAAUUCAGCAAUAAAACAUGAUGGAUUCUUUGUUAACAGGGGAAAACUGGAACGCAUGUGAGUUUCCUUCAAUCUUUUACCUGAUUGUAUUUAUGUAUAGUUUUUUUCCUUAAUUGCAUAGUCUAUACAUACAAGACUUUAUUCACUUAAUUUCUUCUUUGAUUUGGUACUGAAUAAGGUCAUAUUAUUUCCUUUCGAGUGGCCACCAUGAUUCGUGUAUGGCCUAUGGAAGUCUCGACUUUAACACGGUUUCUCUUUUGAGUACGUAAAAGUGAUGGUAAAAUAAAACCAUGUGUGUUAUUUGACAGAACAGAUGGAAUGUCAAAUGUUCUCUUCCUUGAUCUACAUGUGAUUACUGCCUGUAGAUAUAUGUGGACUGUAUGUUGUGUGUUCCAGUAGGGAUUUGAAGGCAUAGACUUUGUAUAAUUUUCUUUGUCUCUUUCCCUGGUUGAUCAGUGGUAUCAGCUGUUUCUGUUGGACCCAUUUGCUUGUGUUUAAAUAAUUUGAACAUGAGAAGCUAUGCUUGGUUUUUGCUAUGUAAUACGUCAAUGGAGGAAUUGAGUUUGCCUAAUCAUUGAAAUCAGUUUCAGUUUCAUACUUUGGUUUUGACAUUGUGGUCUUUUAUUAGUUAAUUUUUGACAUUUUCUUCAUUUAUUGAAUUUUUUUUUUACAUGGAUAGCGUUACUGGUAAGACAGCAGCAGCAGCAGCAAAGAUUACACUGACACUAGUGAAGAACUCAUCUGCUCCCAUUAUAACCACCGAACACCGUGAAGAUGUGAAAUUUCAGAACUAGUUGGGUGGACAUUCAUCCAGGAAGAAGUCUACUGAUUCUAAAACAAUUCUGGAUCCUUCUCUUUUGAAAGUUUCUGAGGGAGACGCUGAUGCACUGCAAAAAGCGGAGGUUAAGGCUAUUAACAAGCAGAACGCAGGAGUCCUGUUGUCGAAGGACCCAAGUAACAGGUUUGCAUUUAUAUCUCAGGCAUAUAAACAGGAGAUGUUUAAAUGAAAAUGUAACUUGGGCGUUUUCAAUUGUUGAAACUGUACUCUUGUUAAGUUCAAUUGAUUAAUUAGCCGGAGUAAAGCUUUCAAGUUUUACCUGGGACACAAGCAAUGCUACAUAAGAAGUAACAGUCAACAUCCAAGGGAGAUGGUUUCAGCCAUGAUCAUGAAUGCCCUCCUAACCAUUGAUAACCUCGUGCUAUCAGACUAUCAGUUUUAUGUUUACGUGAAAAAUACACUAGUCCUGUGUGUACCUGAAUAUGUUAAACUAUUAAUCUAUUAUCUGCUUAUACUCUUAUAUAUGCACGUGCAGCAUGGUAUGGUGCACCAACCAAUUGCAGUUUUAUUGUAGCCAUAUUUAGUUUUAUUCCGUUUAAGAUGUUGAGGAGUAUAUGCAUUUCCCUGAUAGUUUGUCUCCGGCAUGAAAGAUAUGCAUAUAGGGAUGGAGCUGCUGAUAGAAGAGCUUUAUUUGUUUAUUUAUUUAGUUUUGCAGGCGCUUCAAAUUUGGGGCCUUGCUCAGCUUUUGUUCCUCUGGUUUGUAUGUGUGCAGGGGGAGGCACUUGGCAAAAGUACAAAGGGAUUAGCUGAACCUAUUCAAGCACACAGCAACAUUGGUAAUGCUCGAGGCAGGCUUUGAGAAUGUGGUGAGGGAGGCAGUGCAAUGGAAAUAACCUGUUGUUCAGCACCUGGUGCAAGCAAGCAAAUGUCGUUGAACCAAAGCUAAAGGCACCUGGUGCAUUCACAUGGGAUUUUCUACUUAAGUCAAUUAUUCUUGAAUCAAAUAUUGGUUUUCGCAAAAUUUGAUUAGAUGAAUGCACUUCUGUCCAUUUUCAAAUAACAACUUAAUUGACCGAUUAGUCAUAUGCGUGUAAAGUCAGCACUACACAUAUCAUGCAAGACUGUUUUGUUAGAAAGAAAAACACACUUGAAAAACAGAUUGAUCUUGCCAAUAACAAAUCUGAUUCUCAUUGGCUCAAGUACAAAUUUAUUUCAUUUGCUCAGCUCAUAACAAGAAAUCAACCACGGUUGAUGUUGAAGGGUUAGGCCACGGCACUUGGACUGUGACCAUCUUAUCAACAAAAUCAAACUUUACCUCCUCUCCAUCAAUCUUACAAGCACUUGGCCUUUCAGAAGCAAACACACUCAUUUCCCCACAACCCUUCACUCCAAUUCUCACCAAAUUUGAGGAGUUUUCUUCAUCCUCAAAUUCCAGCGACUGAAUUGCACCACCCGUGUUGAGCAUGUUCACCAACCCAAUUGGAGCAAAUUGGAUAAACUUCUUUGGCAAAACCCUCACUGGAGAAACAGUGAGGAGCUUAAAAUCGAAAGGCUGAAGCGAAAUCUCUACCUUCUCUGAAAGCUUCAAGAGCUUCAGCUUCUUUUGCUGGUGCAUGUACACAGCAAAUAUGUUCAUUCCUUUGAUUGAAAUUGGGCUCUUCCCAUUGUUCCACUCUAUAUCUUUUGGGCCAGACAAGCAGGUCAAAGGCUUUGAGCACUCAGGGGCACUUAUGUUGCGCCUGGAUUUGGGGCACCAUCCUCCUCCUUGGCAAUUAAAUAAUCCCAAUGCUCCAGUGUACUGUGUACUGGCACAAAAUCAUACAAAAAGAUUGAAUUAGCACUAUCACUCAAAAGGUUAUCUUACUUUUAUUCUAUUUUAUAAUUCACUACCACUCACGAUAGCAUUUCUUAAUCUUACUUUGUUUAGGUUCCAAAUUUUGAGCAUGGUUUUCCCAUCAUGCACAGGGUCUUCAAAGAGGCAAUCCCUAGUAGGAAGAGCAUAGUGCUGGCAUCGCAAUACAGAGCCAUCUGGCAACACAAGGCUCUUAAGAAGCUUGAAGUUGUGCUUCCCAACAGAGUCACUGAUGUAGAUUGGGCCUCCGGAUAUAGCUCUUGAUGCAGCGUGGAAUUCAGCACAUGGGUGUAUGAUGUUGCCCAUCCACAGGCUGCUGUAGGCACAAUGCACUGCGUGACACCCUUGCAGCCAAUACGUCCCAUCUGCUACCCCCGUGGUCUUAGACCAGAAAUCAUCCCCUACGUAAAUGUGAAGAAAUUAAUACACGUGUGUACUACUGAUGCUAGAAUAUAACUUGUAAAAGACGUACCGACACAUCCAAGGUACAUGAAGUCAUUGCAGUGCUGCAUGCUGGCAAUUACUCCAUUGCCAUUGAAAUGCUUCUUCAUGGAAUCAGUCAGUGCCUUGUAAUAAGCUUUAGCCAGCUCAACUCGACCACCAAACUCCUCGAAUAGCAUCUCAAGCAACUGCAACCAACCAUGGCAUGAAAAUGUUUCAGGAGGGUGGAUGAAGUAAGUUCUAGAGUGCACACAUAACAAUACUUUUAAUUAAUAAAUAAUUUCAAGCUUCUCUUUUUACCUAAAUCUAUUUUUUUUAAUAAAUUUAUUUAUUUAUUUUUAAUAAAAAGAAGGAUAAAGAAAUCAAUAAGAAAUAUUCAAUCGCACGUUGGAAGCCAGUGUUUGGUUGCAAGGAAAAUGAAGCAUACCACGCCGCCUGAAAUUGUGAGUUCCAAGAAAAUGGCCUCCGAAAUGAUCAUCCUGUAUUGAACAAAAACGCAUUCCAAUUAAUCACAAACGAAAGUCAAUAAAAACUGGGGCAAUAGCAAGGGCACCGGAGGCCUUACGUCAUCGAUACGAUUGUGGGUAGCCAAGCCAUGGAGCUUGAAUUCUCAAAACCCUAGAACUUGAUUUCGAAGAAUGAGAGGAUAGAGGCAACGACAUAAUAUUAUUAUUAUUACCGGCCAAAAUCAACCACUUUGGGGUUCAACUUUUCGGGAUUAUUGGUCUUAGGACAAGCCCAAUGAUGGGUGUGGUUGCAAACCUCCGUUGGGCUGAGGCAUUUAGAGCCCACUAUUGCAGCCUUAAGGCAGAUGGAACCCAAGCAAAACUUAGUGCAAUAUUAUCAAAUCAUCGAUCUUAACACAUCAGUAAAAUAAACUCCACAUAUCUAUUAGGAAAAGAAAAAAAAACAGGAACACAGUUGAUCACAUGGAUCAUCAUAAAAAAGAAAAAGAAAAAGAAAAAAAAGUGCAAUACAUUACGUUGAUGAAAUCACAUGAAAAGUUAAUUUAAUUGUAAGAAGCUAGCUAGCGGAGUCCAUUAAACUGGGGUACAACCCAGACUGCAGGCGGUAUAUAACCCUGCAAAUCAGAAUAAGGAUCUAAGGAGAAAUGUUGUGUGAUGGUUCCGCUCUCUAAAUUAAAAAUACCCAUAUCGCGACAUGGCAUGUCGUCAUAUAGCGUAUCAUAUUGGAUAUGGUCUCCGUAAACAAAAGACGACGAUGAGAAAUCAUGGGUAUAAUAUAUGGAAUUUGACUGGCAUCCAUGAAAGUUGGAAGCCAAAACAGAGACGGAAUGAUUGUCACCUAUGAAAAAGGCAUCAUCUCCAAUGCUUUUUACCUCAACAUGUUGUAAAACAGAUCCGUCUUCGUCGUCGAACACCACUUUGUAAACCCUAAAGCUUUCAGUCAUAACAUUCUUGUAGGCCCCUUGUGUUUGUUUACAAACUCUUUCGAUAUGCAUUAAGUCUCCCUUGGUUGAUUCUACAAGAUAUCUUGUAGCUUUAUAACGGUGGAAGCCUGCGUCCCGAUGUGUAAGCAGCUUUAGUCGUCGUAUUCUUGAAGUAUAAGGGCUGACAUCUAAUGACCAAAUCUCUCCCUGAUGUCCAAGUAGGUGGACUUGGGUUUGGUAAGAUAUAACAUCAGUGACCGGAAGUGGGGGCUUAAUCCAAGUCCAACGUUUUUGGCUUAGGCCUCUUUUCAUAUGAAUGAAAGCAAAUUCAUCAUAAAUACCCACAAAAUGAUUAGCUUUACGUAACAGUGCUACAACCACAUAGUUAUCUGGAUUCAAAGCAGGGUCAGCAGAGAAGAUGACCUUUCUCACAUUGAAUUCGUGGAAGUAUUUGUCACGUUUCUUGGGUAUGACAUCCAAGAGAGGGAGAAGAAUGGGCGAUGCCGGAUUUCUGAAAGGGUCCCGGAGUGCUAUAAUCGGACCUUGGUCUGUGACGGAUUCUACUGUGGCAAACCAACCGUGGCUAGACCCACAAGACCUCUUUUUAAAAGGCACUUCCAAUCCAAUAUUGUUGUAGAUUUUGCCUUCAGCAAUGCUGUAUAAUGCUUUUCGGUGGUUCGUUUUCGUUAGGAGGCGGCUAUUCUUGCCGCCGUCGCCUUGGCAUUCAUAUUCAUUAGGGAUCAAGAGCAUGGGAAGUAGGUUGUUAUGCCGCCACCGCUGUGUUGCUUGAUUAUAGUCUUUUGCAAGAGAACGCCAUUGCUUGCAGACGGCAGCAAAAGAAACAUGGUCAAUGGGCUCAAACAAAUUAUCUAGAACCAAAAACACAGGCAGCAGAGGAAGACUUGCCCAUUCUGGUGAUGAUAUGUACCUACUGCAACUGUAGUAUUUGAAGGCAACACCAGCGGCCAUGUUCCCACAACGACGCUUCUUAUUAUUAGGGUACAUGACACCAAAACGAACAAGCACUACAAAUUAAGAAGAAGAAGAAGAAGAAACAAAAUAUUGUACGUACCAAGAAACCAACCCUAAGAUUUUCCUGGCUAUUUAUAAAAUAUACGAAGCGGGUAGAGAAGAGAUAACACAUUAGCACAAGUCCUCUUGUAUGUAUAGAACUCAAAAUCGUAAUAAUCUCAUAGUAAGUAAUGAGGCAAUAAUAAUAUAAUAUUGCAAUAUUUUCGUUUUCUUUUCCUACUUUUUAUUAUAAUAUAUUGUUCGUUUAUUUCCUCGUUCAAUGGCAAGAGAAUCAAGUACGGUAAAUAUUGGCUUUGUUUGGAAGGCAAAUAUUAAGUGAUAAAAUAUUAUAUUCUUGUUAAAUUAUGGCGAUUUGAUAUGAUUUUUCAAGGAUUUGGUGGAACUAUAAAUAACAAUUCUUUUGCAACCAGAAUUCUUAUACACUAAGUAAUCUUGGCCUCCAAGGAAUUAGGUCAGUCAACCAACCACUACUGUAUUUGUACUCACGUGCUCGGAUUAGGGCAUACCAUGGCAUUGGGGGUGGGCGAGAGGGGCCUUGGGCAUGGCCCUCCAAUUAAGGGGCCCUAAAUUUAUAUGCAUAUAUACUAUUAUCCAAUUUAUUAUAAAUAAAUAAAGCAAUUAAAUUAAAUUUCUUCGUUUCCUCUUCCCAAAAAGUUUCUUCAACAUGUGCUUGACAAAUGCGACUCCUUCCCAGAAGGCGAUUCCUCUACUAGUUAGUUUCUCCAAAGAAGAACUCUAUUUAAUCCACCCAUCUCUUAUAUAAGCAAGAAUUUGUGGUGAAUGUAUCAAAUAGAGAAUUUAACAAUGAAUCAAAAGCAUAUAACAAGUAAGACUCUAGUGAAUGUAUCAACAAGUGCCAAGAAAUUCUUCGAGUUUGUGAUGAAAUUACGUUCAUUUAAUAUUUAAUAUUUAUCACCACAACUAUAAGCAUCCAAUAUUUUACCUAGUUGACUAAAAGAAAUUCAGAAUUUAUAUUUCGAUAUCUGAAGAAAAGGUUGAACAACAAAUACAUACUUGGCAUGUUGCAAGAGUAUCUUUACAGUUUUGAAGACUGCAAAAAGAGUUGCAAUAAAAGUAUAAAAAUCAGGACCUAAAGAAAAUUCAAUGCAUUAUAAUUUCCAGUGAUAUAGAAGUUUAAUCAGUGAAGCAUAACCCAUUGUUCCUCAAUACGUUUCAUGAAGAGACAAAAUCAUUCCUGUUGCAACACCAGGAGCAGUUUCUUCAACUUUUGAGUUCCCUGCAUUGUACACAUAAUCAUUAGAUAAAAUGAACAAAGGAGAAUAUAUACCGCAGAACUCUCUUAUAUAAGCAAGAAUUUGUGGAAGCCAAUGCAUGCAUGUAACUUCUUAGAAAUAGCGACCCGUUUACACAAUAAAAUCCUACUCUUUAACAUAACUUUUUGACAUUGGACAACAACUUCUUGUUCUUUACAAGAAAAAGAAGAUUAUUGAGGACCCCAAAGAUCUUACCUUCUAGUCUCUGACGUGUCCUGGCACCAACGGAUGUCUCUUGUCUGUCACAUUGUCGGGGAUUUUCCUCGAUUUGAUCCUGUCAGUCAUAUCUCUAUGAUUGUUAAUUAGUUAGCUUUGGCGGGAUACUUGGUCAAUUUAAUGAAGAAUGGGAAAAGAAUUUUGAAUACAAAUGCAUAUUGAGUUUUAGUUUUAGUUUGUCAAAGGUUGUCAUGAAUUCCGGCUGGCCGUUGUUUAUUGUAUCAGUCGUUUUGUUUUCGUUUCUUAUGUUGGCUAUAGCAUGAAAACCCUAAACCCUAAACCCUAUAGGCUUUACAAGACUUGGGCACCAAGGCUACUUGAUCCAAAAGUAAACCAAUUAAUUAUAAAAUCACACAUAAAUAAUAAAAGAUAUCAUAAAACUACCUAAAUAAGAAAAU
rnacentral:lncRNA from 1 species